rnacentral:rRNA from 1 species
GUCUAAAGCCAUAUCAUUCUGAAUACGCCCAGUUAGUCUAGUCUCAGAAGAGAAGCGGAGCUUGGCCUAGUUAGUACUUUGAUGAGAGCUAGUUGUGUAACAGUACAUGCUAUAGUUU